rnacentral:rRNA from 1 species
UCCGUAGGUGAACCUGCGGAGGGAUCAUUACCGAGUUUACAACUCCCAAACCCCUGUGAACAUACCAAUUGUUGCCUCGGCGGAUCAGCCCGCUCCCGGUAAAACGGGACGGCCCGCCAGAGGACCCCUAAACUCUGUUUCUAUAUGUAACUUCUGAGUAAAACCAUAAAUAAAUCAAAACUUUCAACAACGGAUCUCUUGGUUCUGGCAUCGAUGAAGAACGCAGCAAAAUGCGAUAAGUAAUGUGAAUUGCAGAAUUCAGUGAAUCAUCGAAUCUUUGAACGCACAUUGCGCCCGCCAGUAUUCUGGCGGGCAUGCCUGUUCGAGCGUCAUUUCAACCCUCAAGCCCCCGGGUUUGGUGUUGGGGAUCGGCGAGCCCUUGCGGCAAGCCGGCCCCGAAAUCUAGUGGCGGUCUCGCUGCAGCUUCCAUUGCGUAGUAGUAAAACCCUCGCAACUGGUACGCGGCGCGGCCAAGCCGUUAAACCCCCAACUUCUGAAUGUUGACCUCGAUCAGGUAGGA